rnacentral:lncRNA from 1 species
ACAGAACUCUUGUACAGUUAAUUUCAGCUUGCAGACCAUGGGCCUUUCUUUUCUUUGUUACCUUUCAGAGAACUCUAAAGAACUAUUUCAUAGUUGCCUCUGGGUCUACAGGUCACAAGCUGAAAAUGCAGCUCUGUGACCAGGGAAAAGGACUUCAGCUGUUCCCUGCUGAUGACCAAUGAGCUUUGAAUGACGGUUGAUAUAACUUGGGUGACGAGGUUUCUGAAUUACAGCUUUCGUCUGGAUAUCUCAAGGAGCUUGCAGGACUGCCGUUGAAGGACACUGGAGAUGUCCCCCCUUGAGUCUGCAAGGAGUGUCCGAUGAGAGAACCGCAGCAGCUGCUUGGGGCCCUCCUGCCCAGCAGUGAAAGACUGACCAGUACAAGCAUUUACACUGUUAUCCUGGGGCACGUCUGUCUCCGGAGAAAGCAAAUGGUAAAGCCACUCUCAGACCUCCAUAGAACAACACUGUGAAGUUAGCCCCGUUGCGGGAAGCAGAGAGUUGAAUGUUGCUGCAUAGCCGUUGCUUUUCUUCUCUCAGGAUUCAGCAAAGUGGGUGCAUAACAUUGGCAAAACGACAACUUGGUAAUUUAAUUGUUCAUAUAUGUAUUAUAUGGAAUUUCUUAAUAAUACUCUCAGCUUCUCUUUC